CAUCAGGUGGUGGUGGAAUUCUCAAUGCUACAGGAAGUGUAUUUGUAAGCUUCUUUGCCUCCAUGCACACAUUAUCUGCCGUAUAUUAUAUGUCACGACCGUUUGGUUAACAGGAAAAGUUUACGUAAAAAUUUCAUGUUACUUAUUUUUAGAAAUAUGUGUUAAAUUUUGCGUUUUGACUCAAAAUUUAUUUUUGUCCGUGUACAUAAAUAUACAAAUGGACUUGUGUAUAUGUUUUAC
rnacentral:sRNA from 1 species